GUCAGGAUGGCUGAGGGGGCUAAGGUACCACGUUGAAGAAAUAGAGGCGUGGGUUCGAAUCCCACUCCUGACA
rnacentral:tRNA from 1 species